rnacentral:rRNA from 1 species
CCUACGGGUGGCAGCAGUGGGGAAUAUUGCACAAUGGAGGAAACUCUGAUGCAGCGACGCCGCGUGAGCGAAGAAGUACUUCGGAAUGUAAAGCUCUAUCAGCAGGGAAGAAAAUGACGGUAGCUGCGUAAGAAGCUCCUGCGAAAUACGUGCCAGCAGCCGCGGUAAUACGUAUGGGGCAAGCGUUAUCCGGAUUUACUGGGUGUAAGGGGAGCGCCGGCGGCCUAGCAAGUCUGAUGUGAAAUGCCGGGGCUCAACCCCGGAGGGGCAUUGGAAACUGUGAGGCUGGAGUGUCGGAGAGGAAGGUGGAAUUCCUAGUGUAGCGGUGGAAUGCGUAGAUAUUAGGAGGAACACCAGUGGCGAAGGCGGCCUGCUGGACGAUAACUGACGCUGAGGCUCGAAAGCGUGGGGAGCAAACAGGAUUAGAUACCCGAGUAGUC